AACGAACGCUGGCGGCGCGCCUAAUACAUGCAAGUCGAGCGAGAAGACGUAGCAAUACGUUUGUAAAGCGGCGAACGGGUGAGGAAUACAUGGGUAACCUACCCUCGAGUGGGGAAUAACUAGCCGAAAGGUUAGCUAAUACCGCGUACGCUCCUUGGACUUUGGUUCAGGGAGGAAAGCGAUACCGUGGGUAUCGCGCUCUUGGAUGGGCUCAUGUCCUAUCAGCUUGUUGGGAGGUAAC
rnacentral:rRNA from 1 species